rnacentral:lncRNA from 1 species
GGAGAUAAAUCAAAUUCAACAGUGUACAAGGUUCUUGUAAAUUACACUUAUUUUAUGAAAAUAAGCUCUAAUGACAACAAUGUCAACUACGAGCCUACACUUUCGCCGUGCAGCAAAGAUGAUUACAGUAUGUCAACAGAGUUUGACAAAAUUUCAGCAUGUAGUUUCUUUACCAACACAAACCAUAAAACUGCUACUACAGAAAUAGAGAACAAAAAAGAUUGAUAGAAGAAAAGCAAGUGCCAUGCCAAAGAAAGGAUGAACUAUAUUUGUUUGUCCUUGAAGCUGACUGAUCCCAAACGAAAUUGCGAAAACCAUAAGUCCAAGUUAAGCCAAGAAUCCAUAUUUCCUGCAUGUGAGUUAUUAAAAAUGAAAUUAAAUACAUAUAUGAAUCAUCAAAAUUAAUUGAGAUUGCUCCCCUAAACUUAAUAACCAGCAAUGAAACUGGUAAGCUAAUAAUGUGUACAUUGAUAAUUGAUGCUACUUUUCAAUUUGGUGACCAGUAAUAUAUUUUCAAUAAGGAAGUUCAAAUGUGUGACCUAUCUAAGCAAGUAAAGUAGUAAUCUAGUGAGGGUUAUUCACCCAGCUAAACAAACAUAAUUUUUUUAACAAGCUAUCAUCUUGAAUUGCUAAUUCAAAUUCGACACAUGUAUGCACAGAUGCACAAGAACAAACAGAAUUUUGCACACCAUUUAUUAUAAUAAUUGAGCAGAUUAUUUUGCUUUUAUUAUUAUUAUUAUUAUUUCAUAUAACCAAAC